GGCGUGGUGGUGCGCUCCUGUAGUCCCAGCUACUUGGGAGGCUGAGGCAGGAAAAUCGCUUGAACCCAGGAGGCGGAGGUUGCAGUGAGCCGAGAUCGCACCACUGCACUCCAGGCUGGGCAACAGAGCGAGAUUCCGUCUCAAAAAAAAAAAAAAAAAAGAAAAAGAAAAUAUAGAGAUGGCAAAUGGCACAUAACAAGAUGGUCAAUAUCAAUUCCUAGUCACUAGAAAAUAGGCAUUAAAAGUGCAAGAUACCACCAUAAACCUAUCGGAGAGGCAAGAUGUCAAUGCCGGACUAUGCUGAGUGCUGGAGAUGAUGUGGAGGAAUGGGAGCGUUCAUAUGCACUGGUGAAAACGUCAAAUGGUACCACCUUGUAAAACUACUGGAUAGUUUCCAAAAAAGUUAAAUAUACUCCUGCCAUGCCAUCCAACCAUUCCGCCAUUUAUCCACAAGAAAGGAACGACAUGCCCAUAUAAAGACUUAUACGCAAACACUUACAGGUGCUUUAUUUGUCAUGGACAAAAACUGGAAACACCCAAAUGUCCAUCAAAUAGGUGAAUAAACAAAUUGAGGUAUAUCAAACAAUGGAAUACGUCUCAGCAAUAAAAGGAAUGAAAGGAAUAAAAGGAAUAAACUACUGAUACGCACAGCUUGCAGUGAGCCGAGAUCACGCCACUGCACUCCAGCCUGGGAGACAGGGUGAGAUUCCAUCUCAAAAAAAAAAAAAAUGUUAAUAGCUCCCCAGAUCGAUUUAUAGAUUUAAUAAAAUCAUAAGCAAAAUCCCAGCAGGUUUCUGUUGUUGCUGGUCUGUUACUGAAAUCGACAAACUGAUUCUUAAAUGUAUGCGGAAAUGCAAAAACCAAUAAAAUCUUGAACAGCAAACCUGGAGGCCUCACGUUACCGAAUAUUGAAUUAUUUUAAAUCUAGUGUGGCACUGGCAUUAGGACAAAUAGACCGAUGAGGAAAUACAUUGUGCUAGGACCAUUGGAUCUCUAUAUGGAAAAAAUUUUAACCAUCUCCCUCAUACCAUGCACGAAAUAGAUUCUAGAUGAUUCUACAUCUAGCCAUGACAGGCAAACCAUUCCUAGAAAAUAACAUAAAAGAUUCAUGACCUGGCCGGGCGUGGUGGCUCACGCCUGUAAUCCCAGCACUUUGGGAGGCCAAGGCAGGCAGAUCACCU
rnacentral:lncRNA from 10 species